rnacentral:misc_RNA from 1 species
GAUGAAGAACGCAGCGAAAUGCGAUAAGUAAUGUGAAUUGCAGAAUUCAGUGAAUCAUCGAAUCUUUGAACGCACCUUGCGCCUUUUGGUAUUCCGAAAGGCACACCUGUUUGAGCGUCAUGAAUACCUCAAUCUCCAUCUUUUCUUCGGAUUGAUGGGUGACUUGGAUGUUGAGCCCUGCUGGUAUGCUAUAUCAGCUGGCUUUAAACUUAUUAGCCGGCUCUGUACUGGAUCGGUUUGACUCGACGUGAUAAUAUUAUCGUUGAGGAUGCAUGACUCAUGCAGCCGGAAAGUAUCAAAGCAGCUUCUAGCUUGCCUUUAGUGCACUUUUACAUUUUAGACCUCAGAUCAGGUGGGACUACCCGCUGAACUUAAGCAUAUCAAUAAGCGGAGGA